UACGGGGGGAGCAAGCGUUGUUCGGAUUUACUGGGCGUAAAGGGCGCGUAGGCGGCGUGACAAGUCACUUGUGAAAUCUCCGGGCUUAACUCGGAACGGUCAAGUGAUACUGUCGUGCUAGAGUACAGAAGGGGCAACUGGAAUUCUCGGUGUAGCGGUGAAAUGCGUAGAUAUGUGGAGGAACACCAAUGGCGAAGGCAGCCCCCUGGGUCAACACUGACGCUCAUGCACGAAAGCGUGGGGAGCAAACAGG
rnacentral:rRNA from 1 species